GUCACUUCCUCUUCAGUUGGAAGGCCACUUCAGUUUCUCAUGGUUCAGUUGUGUAUCUACCAUUACACAACACUAGGCUGUAACUUCACAACCAAAUGAAAUCUAUCGACCGAACAGCUCAAGGGUGGAUCUACACCGGCUUCAAAUUUGGAACCUCUCCUCAGGCCUUUCUAACAUCCACACCAAUAACGAGACCUUGUCUAGACCUGAAAGAUAAGGAGGGGGAAAGCGGGAUGCUACACAUGACCCUGCAGACGUGGUCACAGCUUUGAGAAAGUCGACCAUCAUGUUAUCAUCUGAGUGACCUGAUGAAAUUCAUGUUUGAGGUGUUCCUGGACCCAUCAGACUCACCUCACAGUGUGAGAAACCAUUAGAAGAGGAAGUUAUUGCUGGGCAGAUGUCAUGCUUCAGUCAAGCAAAGGCCUGAAGACAACACAGCGGCCAGCAGCAUCAGGAAAGUCAGGAAAGAUGCAUCAUGAUGACCACUGUGAACCGGAUGGGACAUGAUCUGGACAGUUUCUGUAUAAAGGUUUUAUACAGGUUUUGCUACUUUGUGCAUUAUAAAUAUCCAAUUUAUAUUUCCAUUUCACUCACCAUGAAUAAAGUGCUUUAUUUUUAA